AGUAGGCUUUAAAAAUAGAUUAAAAAUAAACAGAUGAAAUUAGAGUUUCAACCUAUAAUAGAUGUAAAACAUUAUUCAUGAGAUGAUUGACUCUAUGUAUGCAUAUAUAUAGGUCUAAAUAUAAUAGACACAUACACUAAAUUUUGGAAAUCUGGUAUGUAUCUUCCGCUCACAGCUCAUCUCAAAUGCAAUGGGCCACAUUGCAAAUGUUCAUCAGAAGAGGGGAUAGUGGAUGGGAAGGUGAUGUAAACUGGGGGCCUGAUGACCAUGUGGAUCUUGGAUAAGGAGAUACAGUGGCAUGAAAGGCCAUUCCAUGGAAAGUUAUAGGAAGAAGAAAACUGUAUGAACAAAAACAGAGACAUGUAGGUCUUCGAGACCAAUAGUCAGUGAAAAUCCAACUGCAGAGAGUUGAUGUCUAUGGAGUAACUGGGGAUGAGAACAGAUCAGAAGGUUUGUGUAAAAGUGCUGAACUCUGAGCUUUCUGAAAGCAUAGAGACUUAAGCAAGAGUGUCAGUAUUAAAACAGUGUUUUAGGUAGAUGAAUCAGCCACGGGAAGGCAUGAUAGGUGCAUAUAACAACUCACUUAAUCUUCAAAAUAAUUCUGAGUAAGUAAAUUCAAUAAUCUUAUUGUACAAAUCAGAAAACAUAGUUAUGUAAUCUCAUGAGGCAUAUAUGAGCUCAUUAUUAAAUUGUUUCUUUGAUGUUUAUGUAUCAGUUUCAGAGCUGACCCAGAGAAGCCAAGCAGGUUUCAGAGUGCCUAAGGCUAAGGCCCGGUAGGUGCCUGAAGGUCAUCCCUCCCAUGUGGGCAAGACCUGAGUUCAGGCAGCUCAUUCCAGACAACAGGUAAACAGGGAUCAAGUCUAGGUACCCCACCCCUAAGUUAGUCUUUUAUUCAUGUCACCAAGCUGACUAGGAGUUCCUUUAGGACAAAGCCUUGUCCUUUUGCCCUGUCCCUCCAGCACAUUGCUAGGCAUGUCGUGUAUGCUCUGGGUGUUGAUUAGUUGAAUUCUAGAGUUGGAGAAAUAAGUUCUUUGCCUUCUGCAGCAACUCAGAUACAUAGCUGAAGCAAGCCUGAUCGUUGGCUAUCACUACAAAAAAAUGCCUGAGACAAUCAACUCAUAAAGAGAGUUUUGGCUCAGUUUUAGAGAUUUCAGUCCAUGAUCCACUGGACCUGAUGGUUUUGAGCUUGGGAGGAGCCAGCACAUCAUGGAGGGAGCAUCAGUGCCUGGAAAUGAAAGGGCGAGCCCAGGGUCCCACAGUCCCCUCGGGCACCAUGAUCUGAAGACCUUCCACUGGGCGCCAUCUCUUGAAGUUUCCACCACUUCCCAGCAGUGCCGAGCUGGAAACCCAGCCUUUUAUUUCAUGAACCUUUUUUCCAGAUCCAAACUUACAGCAAGGCCUAAUUAGACCUGUGCACUACAAGAAGAUGUGGCAUAACCUUCUGUUGUCUUUGAAAUUCCAAGUACUCACCACCUGGCCUCAAGAACAGUUUCUCCCAGAAAGGUGUUAGGUCUCAAACUGCAGCGCACCCGGGGCACACUGCUGGUGUCAUAGGAAACGAGGUGGUGGUUUUCCAGAUAUUUCUAGGAAAUGAAUUUAUUUCUAGAAAUGGCACAUGGGUUGCUGGAAUUCUGCACCUGAGCAACAUAAAUUUAGCUGAGUAGGAAACUGUACAUCUUUAUUCUUGAAAAACAAGCAUUUCACUGAUAUUAAAUGAAAACUACAUAUUCUGGGUUCUAGGUCAGUUGUUAAUAAAUAAAAUAUAUGACUUAUUUGUCACAUUGUAUUGUAUCCCAAAUGGGAUUCUCUCCUUUCCAACGGAGAGGUCUAGAUCUAUUUUCUCUGUGUAUUCUACUGGGGGAAAGCCCUCAGCCUAGCCUAGGUGUUCUCCCUUAACCCAGUCAACAUGGCUGAGAGAGUCAGAUUCCUAUUCACGAAUGUACAGAUAACAGUUUUAACUCUUAUUUCUACAUGUCCAUUCUAAAAUGUAUUCAGAGUAGAUAUCACAGCGCUUCUACAUUCUACUCAGGGCUUGUCCACUUGAAACAGAUUCCUAAUCUUCCCUUCUCAACAAAAGAGAGAAUUCAUGUGCCAUCUUGAGUUGUUCCAAGGGAAAUUAUGUUUGUCGAAAUGGCUUUUGAUGAAGCAUUAAGACCUCACCUGUUGUCUUCUGGACACUGUAUGUAUGUGUGUAUUGCAGAAUUAAUUUUAAGUAGCAUUGAAUUUCAUUGCCUUCCUGGGGCUUUUGUUUGCCAUGCCCUUGUCAUGAAGCUUCAGACCAGGAAGGCAGAAGCAGAGCAGGGCUGACAGAGGAGAUCUCCAUCGGGGACAGGACUUCUGGACAUUCAUAAGUUCUCUGCCUUAAACAUUCAAAUCUAUUUGGCACGAAUGCAUUUUCCUGGAUCAGUUCCUGAGACUGACAAAUGAAAUCAGAAAACCACUUCAAUAACUCACAGUGUAGCUGUCAAGAUGCCUAUUUUAUACCCUUGAGCAUGAUCAGAUGUUUUCUCUCCUAUACCCAGGAAAGAUAAUUAUAACAAAAAGGUUCUUAGCAAGCAUGAGGUCAGAGCAAAGAGCUGUUUGCAAAGAUUUAUCAGUACAGCCCUGUCUGCCAUGGCCUGGAGUGUUGGAAGUCUUCUGGCUUUGGAGACCAACCCUCCUUUCUCCCCUAAAUAGGAGAGAUGAGCAAUGCCAGCAUUUGACUCUGUGCCUCUCUUCCAUCACCAGUAGUUCCAUGCCUCCCACCCUGCCCCACUGCCCAACAGAAACAUUCUUCCCUUAUGGAAGUCAAGACACCUCUGCAGUCACAGUCAAGACUUGUUGACCUGCCUAUCUCUUAUGAGGACCACAUAUCUCUGCUCACUUCCACUAUUUCUGGAAGCCUCUUAAUGGAGACUCAAGAGAGAGGAGGAGGUUUUGCUACCUCCUCUGCAACACUGAGGUCUAAAAACACUUCCCGUAGGAAUGUUCUUGGCUCUGUUUCUACUUUAUGGGAACCAGGUAUCUGAUUCUGCCAAUUUUUCUAAUGGAAAUGGCAUUAUUUCCAUUUCAUUUAAUGAGACAGUCUUGUUCCUGAAACAUUGAAUGUAUGUCUAGGCAGCAUUCAAAUAUUUCUUUCUCUGAUUUGACUACCAGAUGACUGUGAACUCUUUGAGUGCAUUUUUCUGAUCCACACUGCAGAAACAUCUCGGUGAACUGUGCCUCUGGAAAUGCCACACUCAUAAAGGGCCCUCCUAGGUUGGAGCUGUGGCCAGAUGUCUCUGAGUAGAUCUUGUUUAUCCAGGGAUGAAAAAGGAUGUUCUUUGUGAUGGCACUGAGGAGUCAGGUUCAACCUGAUGCAUUCUAGGAUACAAUUAUAGAACAAAGUUUGACAUUUGUGGCUUGAAAGAUGAUCUCAGUCUUGGACUUUUUGUUUCCAACCAAUGUAACAAUAUAUUGUCAUUGGAUGGAUUACUGAUCAAUGUAGAAUAAUUUAUUUAUUUAUUUUACCUACUACAUGCUAUGCCUUAUAGGAUAUAGAAAAGGAGAGUCAGCCUUCAGAAUCAGGCAGGUACCCUUUUCUGUUGUUAUUUUUUUUAAUCAAUUUUAACUAAAUUUUUAUUACUUAAUGAAAAAAUAAUAAUAAUGCUUAUGCGGAACGCAUGUUACAUUAUGCAGUGAUUACAUCAGGCGAACAUCCAUCGCUCCACACACUUGUCCUUUCUUUAUAGUGAGAAUAUUUGAAACCAAAUUUUUUAAAAAACAAUUUGGAAAUGUCCAAUAUAUUAUUAUCAAGCAUAGUCACCAUGCUAUGCAAUAGUUCAUCAGAAUGUAUUCUUCCUGCUUAUCUUGAAACUUCAUACCUUGACCAAAAUCUCCCCUUUCCCUGUCAGACCCUCUGCACCACCCAGGCCUUGGUAACCACCAUUCUAGUUUCUACUUCUAUGAGUUUGAUUUUUUUUUAUAUUCUGCAUAUAGGUUUGGAGAUGUGGCUCAAUGGUAGAGCACUUGCCUAGCAUACACAGGGAACUGGUUUCAAUCCCCAGUAAAACACACACACACACACACACACACACACAGAGUAAGGUUUAGAUUCCACAUGUAAGUGAUGUUUGUUUCCAUAGACAGAUAUUUUUGCUUAUCUUUCCUCCACCUGUACUUUUGACACAUCAAUAGAGACAAAGUACACAAGUACUUGAAGAAGUCAUGUAUCAAAGAUCAAGAAGUAACUUGCUGUGUGUUGGUCCAGUUUGGAAAGAUGAGAAAAUAUUUUGUUCCUUUUUAGAGUGACUAUAUGAACUCAAAAAAUAUUUAAAUUGAAAAUAUCAAAGUUUCAAAAUUAAUAUUAUAUAUUAACAUAUUACAUUUAUAUUUUAUAUAAUAUAUCAAUAGUAUAUAUAUUUAAAUAGACUUAUUUAAAUAUAUUUUUAGGCAGAAUACUUGGAGGAGAUCUACAAGAUCUUACCUGCAUGCAUCCAGAUGUAUUUUGGAAUUUGGAAUGUUUUUUAUUUUAGGAAGUUUAUGCAGUACUACUAUGUUACAUGACACCCUGAACAGGGUCCAAGUCAGCAUUCUAUAAUCAAACAUUAAUGUCUCUACCAUGAAAUGUGUGAUUAUUUCUACUAAGAAGAUUUAAAAAAUGCCUAUAAAUAGCCUCACAGCAGUUCAGGUCAGAUUUUGCUGCCAAAUGAGUUCAAGUAAGGUCAUAUUAACUGCUGAAUGAGUUAUGGAAAAACUUUAUCUCUUCAGUGCUUCUGGAUUUGGGAACUUGGAAUAUGAAAUCACAGACAUGUGUAAUGGAAUGUCCCUUUAUAGAACAUCAUCUACUGAUUAGGGAUGGCAGUUAAACGUACUUAAACCUACCAAAUAAUGUUACAUCGAGUAAUUUAUAAGUAACGUUAUUCAAUAAAUACUUAAAAUGAAGGCUAUACACGAUUAAUUUGAACAGAGAAGAUUUUUGGAAAAACUAAGGCUGCAACCUCUUAGCAAAAGCAUGAUGGUGAUUGCCCACCAUCAACAGAAUCCAGUAUGUUAUUUAGGCAAUCUUCCAUGUGCCAGAGAUCAUCUAUUAGCUAAGAAAAUAUCCUUUGUUACUACAAAACUGAUUGCAGAGAAUCUCAGAAUGGUAGAAACCUUUAAAAAGCACUGUAAUGAGCGGGCACGGGGUGCACACCUGUAAUCCCAACUACUCAGGAGACUGAGGAAAGAGGAUCACAUGUUCCAGAACAGCCUGGGCCACUUGGAGAGAUUCUAUCUCAAGAUAAAAUAGAAAGGGCUGGAGAUGUAGCUCAGUGGUAGAGUGCUUACUCAACCCCCAAUACUUGGGGGGAAAUCAUUGUAGUAGUCCAGCCACCUCUGAGAGUGAAGACUCUUCUUAUCCUAAAGUCAACAAUGUGUGUAAGAUUACAAAAGUAAAAAAGUCAUGGUCUUUACCCCAGAAUGAUUCACAUACAUCUAUGUGUGAAGUGUCAUGAUCAUUUUCAAGGGGUCCACUAAGAACUCCCAUCUCAGAUGUUUACCAUAUUGGAUAACAACGAAAGUAUGUUAAAAAUUUAUAGCAGUUUUAGUAUUGCUCCUUUAUUUUAAGCUGCUUCAUAAAGUGACUGUGGUUUUAUGCCUCAGUAACUUCCAUGAUAUUUAUCUCAACUUAUGAUUUUCUAUGCAAUAUUUAUAAAAUAAACAUUUUUUAACUCAUCAUGAUCCUCUUUCUUCAUCUUAAAGGUUAGAAAGAGGAAUAGUAAAGACUUUUUUUUUCUUUUAGUUUUUCUUUUUGUAGUUUUACAACCACGUCAUGCAAAACUCAGAGGGAUGGGAAAAAAAAGAAAUCCUCUAAGUAAAAGGCAUAAAAUUUCCUACUGGUAAAUGUAUCAUACUUCAAUUUUCAAUUUGACACUAACUGGGAAAGGAAAUGAUGAAGUAAAUUUUCUAAGUGUUGAGCUGUCACUAGAAGAAAGAUUUAUAUUACUUCCUGGCAUCAAAUCAUGAUUUAGAUUUGACAGUAUUAGGCACACAAUUUCUUUUCUUUGACAUUUUUAGGAGUCUGGUAGGAGAGGAUUCUGGGUAGUUGCAGGAUACAGUACCUUCUGCGCUCUUAUCCAAACUAUCUACAAAGAGCAUCUUUUUUCAGGCUUAGUAUCUGAAAGAGGCUACCCACCUGCUGAGACUGGGCAGACCCACAGGAGGCAGGCCUGAGCUCAAGGUCACAUUGAAAAGACUGACUUCCAUUUGCUGGAGAAAGUAAGUGAACAAUGGCUCCCUCCAGGCGUGGGCAGGAAACCUUCCCAGCAGUUUCCUUCCCUCCAGUCUGGCCAAAUCCAAGGUAUAAACUAUGCAAAGUGCAAGCAGGUCCCACCUGAAGCCUCAUCCUGUCACUUGGCCUCAUCCAACAGCUUGCCACCUUGUCUUGGCAUACAUAUGAGUGCAGGACAAGGAGAAGGCCCGGAAGGCUGACAAGAAGCCCAGGUGACCACUCCUCGUCCAUCAUGCAAUCAAUAUUCCUUAUCAGGCAGUGCACCCGGCUGCGACUGGCCUCAGCCCAGAGCCAGGGGACAGUGUUGGAGAGCCCCUCUUCAGGUCAAGUGGCCAAGGGAUGUGGAGGGCUUCCCCUCCCAUUGUUAACUUUGAGACCACUUCUCCCCUGUCAGGAGGAGAAAAACUCUCAGUCCUAAUAAUUAAUGUCCUUGGCUUGCUCUUUCACUGCCAGUCAAUGUCUGAAGUGUAACACAAAACAUUACAGAACACAAAAUCCGAUGCGACCUGGAAAACAGGGUGCCAAGUUAAAGAAGCCGGACCCCAAAGCCCACAUAUUGCACCCCUCCAUUUAUAGGAACAGCAGCCGUGCACUGCUAGACCAUCUGAAGACAUUGUGAGAAAUGCGUCCUCACACAAUUUCACGGCCAUGUGAACAUCAUUGAGUGAAUUACACAAACCAAGGUGGCCAUGUCAUUAGGUGCCAUAAUCUUAGGGGACUGCUGUCAGCUAUGCUGUCUGUCAUUGAUCCAAACCUCAUUAUGUGGCACAUGAAUGCAUCCAGAAUAGAGAAAUUCACAGACAAAAGAAGGCUAGUGAUCACCUGUGGUUUAGAAGAGUGAGAUGGAGAAUAACUACUGAAUGGGUAUGGGGUUUCCUUUUGGGGUGAUGAAAUGUUGUGGAAGCAGGUUGUGGUGAUAGCAGUACAACCUCUGAACGUACUAAAUAUCACCAAACUGUGCACUUCAGAAUGGUGAAAGUGCUGAGUUAUAUCACGAGUCUUGACUGCAGUAAUAAAAGAAAAAUCAGAUUGGGUCCUUUUCUGCUACACUUGUGAUUUAUUUAGAUAAAAUCACAUAAAACAAAAGAGAUAUUUUAACAAAACAGAAAAGAGAGAAGAAGAAUACUGUGACUUCGAUGAUGGUUAAACUGGUUUUCUCAGAGUUUCAAGCAAACAAGGCAGAAUAUUAAGUCUUCACGAGGCAACAUGAAUCCCUCCUUGUGCAGACCAGGCACUGAAGGGCUCUGCAGGAGCAGAAUCCACACCUGUCAGGUCUACUGCCUAUAUGACUUAGUCUCUCUGAGCCUUAGUUUCCACAUCAAUUAAGUGGGACUGAAAUACAUCGUAUGGACUCCUCAAAGUGCCGGGAAUACAACAAAGCCCAUUACUGCAAGGAACCCCACCAUGAAGGAGUCAGAGCAGUGUCUCAGAAAGGGGAAGUUCAAAUGGCUAUUUAGAGGGCUUUGGGGCGUGCACGCAAGUGAUUCCUGGCAGGUUUUUCAAGGUGGAACUAAUGAGACUGGGCAGUCUUUGGAACACAAUAGUGUAGGGUCGGUGGGCGGAGCAGCACAAAGUCCGGAGCAAAUCUGGACUAGCAAACUGUUUGCCUGUCGUCUCGAAUAAAUACUCUGCAGGAGUUUCCUGAAGCAUACUGGGCAGUUGUUUAUUGGUUUUCAGUCUUAUGGCUCCAAAGGCAAGAGUUCAUGGAAGUCACAUCAAUGUGAAAGGUCUCUCUUCCAGGUCCCAGUUCUGCCAGGUUUGAUGCAGGAGCUUGGAGUUCCCAGAGAUGCUGAGGUCCUACGUUGAGCACAAGACCCAGGCAUCAAUACCUCCUUCCUGGCCUCCCACCAUCACUCCUGCUAAACACUUAGUGCGGAUCUCAACCAGAAAUAGGACCAAGGCUUCUGUGCAGCAGAUCACCAUUCACCUCUCCUUUUUCUGGCAUCAGCAAAUUAAUUCAGCUACAGUUAAAAAGUCCUAAGUCUUUUCACCACAAUGAAGGAAGCCACAGGAGAAGAGAGGCCUUAUCCUGCCCUCAGACUUGGGUCACUUGAUCUGUGACCCUGGGCCAAUUAAUUGCCAUUUCAAGUCUCAUUUCCUCAUCAGAAAAGGGUUCUCAACCAGUCCUUAUCAUGUAGUACAUACUCAGCCAAUUUUUUAAAUUAAGUAAAAAAAAAAAAAAAAAUUCUUACUUCUAAAGUCUAGUUAAAGUUUCUUCCUAAACUUGGGCAAAGAUGGAGAUUCUUAUCUUAUUCCCAUUUGUUUUUACUUGUCCCUGGCCUUCCAGUAGGACCUGGAGAGACACUCAUAUGAGACACUGAGAGAGGGGUCUUUCCUGUGAAAUCCUGAGACUGACUUGCUCAAGGAGGAAUGUGCAGUGGCACAGGACAGGCUGGCCACAAGGGACCUGGGGACGGAUUUGCAUAGUUUGGAUAGGAAGUUUAAUCUGAUGAUCUGGAUGUGAUCAGGCCUAAAUUCUUGUUAUUGACUACUCUCUUCUUCUCCUUUGCUCUGACCCCUAGUACCCCCUAUGCAGCACUGUUGAAACGUGCUGUCACUCCCUUCAAACGAAUUUGCUGGUCUAGGGGACAUGUGUACCACAGUUUUUGUUUCAGUUUCCGUAUUUAGCUGUAGAUAUUAGCAGUUUUCUGACUUGCAGUAUUACCCAGAUCCACUGGACAGGUUACAUCCAUGGCAUGAGAGCAUCAUGAAUAAUUCCUAUCACUCAAAUGGAGGCAUAAGAAAAGGCCCCUGGAGAGAGAUUGGGACCUACAUGGGUUCCAACGCCUUCUGUCCCCGGUAAGUUGAGUGGAGUAAUUUUAUAUCUGCUAAUGGCAAAGUGGAAUGUGUAAAGGCCACUGCUUGAAUCAGGUCACUGCUAAGGUCUUUUCCUAGUUCUGAUUAACUGGAACUACCUGACUUUUUUCCACCAUUGAUGUGUUCUUGAAAGUCCAAUUUACCCUGAAAGGCAAAUUCAAUCACCUCCUAAUUUUUUUUUUUUAAGAGAAACUUUUACGAGAAUCAGGUUACUCAGUUCAUUUAUAUUUUUCUAUCAAGAAACAUUUAUGGAGCUCCAACUAGAUGUGAGGAACUAAGUUAGGUAAUGGAAACCCAAGGUUACCAAUUCUGCCCAGGGCUGGGCCGGGCGGGGGCGGGCAGGAAACCUGGAUGCCUGCUAAAGGAAGUGACCAAUGGAAGUCUCUAACUCAAUUAUGCGGGGUUUACUGCCCAACACCAAAGAGGGGGCAGAUUGUCAAACCAGCCAGGACAAUCAGGAAGGGAAUCACUCACAAGGUGUCACUCAUGACCAGUAGUUUUUGCCAACUUGGAAAGGGCAUUCCAAGCAGAGGGGAGAAGCUUUCAGAAGGAAGCUAGAAAGAGCAGAUUGUAUUCCAAGGACGGCAGGAAUAGUUACAUGACUGAAGCAAAAGACUGACGGGACUACCAUAAUGGGGAAAAAUUCCUGGCCAAGUUACGAAGGCGUUCACACCUCCUAACAAGAAUCUGGGAUUUCGUUCCAUAAAGAAGAGAGUCCCUAAAGGUUUUAAGGUAAAGAACAACCAAGGCAUCUUUGAGUUUUAUCUCACACACUCUCCACAAUCAGAAUGAGGACAGACUGGUGGAAAAAGAAAUAGAGAAAAAUCCACUAAGAGAUUCCAGAUGAGGCAAGAAGGCCAUAAAUUAUGAAAAGAGAGACUGGCCUAGGCGUGGGAUUCCUUGGGGAAAAUCCACAGUUCGAUGUGCGGUUUGAGGCUCCUGGGUCUGCUGUGGACAUGCUGGAAGAAAAGUCAACCAAGCAGCUAGGAAAAUAAAUUUGUGGCUGGGGUGGGGCGGGUACAGACACAAAUACAGGUCUCGCUGGCUCGCCUCUAAGGGGAAGUAAACAGUGAAACUUCCUAAUCCACUAACAAAAGCACCACAAAAUAAGUCAGAAAAUACCAACAGGGAGGAGGCAGAUGAUAGGAAAGGGACUGUCAUUUCUACCAGUUUUCUUAAGUCUGUUUUCCAAACUCAGAAUAUUUCAUUUAUUUAUUUAAUUAUUUGGUACCUGGGAUUGAACUCAGGGGCAUUUGACCACUGAGCCACAUCCCCAGCCCUAUUUUGUAUUUUAUUUAGAGACAGGAUCUCACUGAGUUGCUUAGGGCCUCGCCAUUGCUGAGGCUGGCUUUGAACUCAAGAUCCUCCUGCCUCAGCCUCCCCAGCCACUGGGAUCACAGGCGUGCGCCACUGCUGACAGUAUUUAUUAUAUUUUUGAGGAUACGUAUCUCUUCUUUAUAGCCAAUUCAGACAUUAGAAAGCAGAUGAGAAAAAUGAUAAGUUCUAGUGUUAUUAAAUAUAUAUAUGCAAAUGCAUGCAUAUGUCUGUGCACAUUUCUUCCCUUGUUCUAGGAAAAAAAUGGGGCAUCGGGUCCAUGCCAGGUGCGUUGCCCGAGAACAGCUCUGGAAAGUUAUGUUCUCCUUCAGAAUUUCAGUUUGUUGUCCUCAUUUGCCCAAUUUAUGCAGGACUUUCCCCUCCAUCAUUGAAAGAAUGUGUUUGGCACAGGGGAGCUGGUAUCAGGCAGACAACAUAUUUCUUACUUUAAAAGUGCAACUGGUAGAAUAAAGGGCCUGAGAACCGGAACUGCUGCCAGAAAUAGCAGGGCAAAAUCACCCACUUCCAAGAAGGUCAUUCAGUUUCAGAACAGGGUGCAGGCAGAUUGAAGCAGAUUCUUGGCACUGGCACGGUCAUGUCUGCCUGUUGCAUAACUUACGGCCCUUGGUUCCCUUGAUGGAGAGCACUGUGUUGACCCGACAUUUUCUGUUCCCCUCUGUCAUACCGUUUUUCCAGCCACGUCAUAUUAAUCACUGUUUAUCAGGCGACCUUCCCUAAUAAGUCACUCUCCCUUCUCUUUUUAACAGCUACCUGUUGAGAAUCCUAUUUUUAACCAACAAUUACAACCUAAGAGCUGUCAUCUGUCAGGUUUUAAAUGUUAAAAAUAGGAGUCCCAGACAUGUUGUCAUUAGACCACAGAAAGCCGCAAACAAUAGGAAAAGCAAGCAAGAGUGGGAGAUGUUAAUUACGACUGAACUCAUCACUGAAUCUCAGCUUAGGAGGGGCUACAGUCGGUGGCCAAUCAUGAAAUGGAAGUCCAUUGUCCUUCACAGAAACAGUGGUACUGACCUUCAUGAAAUUACAACCCUGUGAACAUUGUUCAUGUCAUAGAGGAGAGCAAUGCUUUUUCUUUUUUUCCAGACCUGUAAGAAAUGGAAAAUAAGAUAAUAUCUCAAGAGUGAUGCGUAAGUCAAAUGGAGAAUGCUUUGAAACAGUGAUUAAUGCUCCCUCAGUCUUUCUUGUUUUACUCAGCAGGACACUGACUGCUUGUGUGCAUCAGAUCUCUUGAUAGAGAGAACAGAGGAGAUAAGUACUUUGUUGCCACAUGUUGCUGAUGAGGAAACUGAGGCUUUGGGAGGUCAAGUAACUUGCCCAAGAAUGAAAAGCUGGAAAAUGGAUGUAUAGGACUUUAGGAACCUAAAGCUACUUCCUCGGGAACCCACCUUCCAAACCCCUCUCCUGGGAUGCUUACCACAGUCUCCAUCCUACAGUUCCCUUCUAUGGAACUAAAAGAGGAGCACCUGCUCCCAUCCUGUGGCUGGGCUUUCUGAUUCAAGCUUGGAGUCUGAUGAGGUGGAUACACCUUGGGUUUCAGUCAAGAAUCUCCUGGCAUGGGGGAGUGAAGGUUGUGAUUUGUUCCAUGGCCCCACUCUCCUGACUCAACCUUCUGCCAUGAUGCGUUGGAUAACUAUUGAUUCUCAGAAUGUGAAAGAUGCAGGAUCUGAGGAUAUAUCUGCACGGGUCGAUUAAAGAUGACAUUUUUAACAUGAAUAGCUUCUUUUGUUUUCCUCUAAUUUCAUUUUCAGGCCCAUAACUCUUUUUCUUCUCAUGCAUGAUAGAUUUAAUUUAUAUUUUCUAAUAUGUAAUUAUAAAAAUUGAUUUAUUGGAUUGGCUCACAUAACCAGAGGCUGGUAGUUCCACAACAGCCAACUGCAGGCUGGAAAGCCCUGAAACUAGGAGCUGCUCAGUCCAAGAAACUGGAGCCUCAGAACAAGACGGACCCAUCAUACAGCCCCGGUCUAGUCUGAAGGAUGGAAUUUCCCUGGAGAGUCGGUGGUGCAAGUCUAUGUUGGAAAACUGAAGAAGCUGGAGUCUGAUGCCCAAGGGAAUGGCAGGGGCAAUAGAUGUGCCCACUCAAGAAGAGUCAAGCUUGCACCGGCUGAUAGGUUUUCUCCUCCUUCUGCUUUUGUCCCAUCUGGGUCCCCAGUCCAGUGGGCAAUGCCACCCACAUCCAGGACUCCACCCUCAGUUUGCUGUCCCACAUGCCAAUCAUCUCUAGAAACAUGCUCACAGACACGUAUACACACACGCUCACACACACACGCGCGCGCACACACACACACAUACGACUUUCCUAGGCAUCUCUCAGUUCACCCAAGUUGACAAUCAAUAUUAGACAACGAAAAUACCCUAGGGUUAAGACUGCUCCAAAAGGCCUAGGGCCGUAGCUCAGCGGCAAAGUGUUUGCCUUGCAUGUGUGAGGCGCUGGGUUCGAGACUCAGCACCACCUAAAAAUAAGUCAAUGUACUGUGUGUUCAUCUAUAACUAAAAAAAUUUUUUUCAAAAAAGACUGCUCCAAAAGGCAAGCACAUAAUCUGUCAUGGAGGGCCAAGGAAGCGCUUUAUGUUAAAAAGGUGAUCUCUAAUCGGCCUGCACUGAUGUAUCCUCAGAUCUUGCAUUCUUUAUAUCCAGAGAAUCUACACUUCCCAGGCCAUCAUGGCAGAAGAUUGAACUCUGGAGAAUGAGACCAUGGAACAAAAUACAACCUUCACUUCCCCGUGUGAGGUGAUAUGGACAGUGUCCCUCUUGAAUGAAACUCAAGAUGCCACCACCCACCUGACCAAGUGUGGUUGAAUUAGAAAGCCCAGCAGCAGGGUUGGGGGGAGGCUAAGAUGUGUGUGUGUGUGUGUGUGUUUCUUUGGAGAACUCUGACUACUAUACCCUGACUUAGGGAAAUUGAAACUUCCACAUCCACCAAACCCUAGGAUAUGAUAGACAUUAAAUUCAAUGGAGCAGAAGACCUUUAAAUAGCAUCUUCUGGUAUGUCAGAUUCCACCUCAGCAACAGCCUGGGGGAGGGGAACAGAGUCCUGCUAAUUGACAAUCACACAGAAAUGACUAGCAAGCAUCUCUGAAAUGCUAAUUGUUACGUGUUUAUUGAAUCCUAUCCAUAUGCCUGUGCUGAAUACUUAAAGUAUAAAAACAUUCCCGAUGAACUUUCUGUCUGAUUGCACUCAAAAGAAUAGAAGAAAAUAUGUAUUAUAUGCAAUCAAGAGUUCAAAUGUGCAAAAUGUGGUUCAAUUGAUGAAAGUCUGUGAUGUAAUCAUGUUUCAGACACACACCUACAAUAUUAAGUGAGCUAUUUUCUCCACGACAAUUCAAAAAAAAAGCCCAUAAUUUUCUAUGGGAAGCUCUAACAUCUUGCUAAAGCUAUCGGUCAGGGGUUUCUUUCUGGAACUUGUGUUUUCCUUUUUGACAUCUUUAAAAUAUUUCAUAAGAAAUGCAGUUAGUACAGCCACAGAUAGUACUUUUUGUUGCAAAUAAAAAUUAUUUUUCCAUUACCUAUCUCAUCUUAGAUGUUAUUUCAAAAAUGCAUUCUCUCAGAUGACACCUAGAGAUUGUGAGGGUUUUGCUUUUGGAACCCUCUCUUCCCCCAAAAUGCAUCUACUGGGAGCCCUGGUCCCACUAUUAAAGAAUUCUUGAGGUCUACAGAGAAUGCUUCAUAAACUUUAUAGCCAACAUCACAUUUUGAGGAAGGGAAGACAAGUCCAGUGUCAGGGACUGCACAGAGGCCUUCUAAAUUCCUUUUUCAGUUUGCAGAGCGGCAGAUAAGUUUUUCCAUGGAGCAGUCCAAUCCCUGUCUGCUGCAAGACCUGUUUUUUUUUUUUUUAAACAAGUCAGUAAACUAACUGGAACUUCUGUCAAGUCUGGUGUCUCUGUAUAAAUGGGCACAAAUUUAACUUGACACGUUAAUUUCUUUCUAGAAAACAAUUUAUAUUCAUAGAAUCAUGGAAUCCCAGAGUUAUAAGGGCCUUAACAGUCAUCCAGUCCAAACACAGUUCUUCUGCUUGAGUUGCUCAUUUCUAAAGAAGUCUGUUUUCCAGAGCAGCUGCUCUGAGUUCCCAGAGUCGGACACCUUACGUGUCCUUGCCCCAUUUGGACAGCUCAGCAUGAACAUCAUCUCUUUAGUGACUCUUUCUUGCUGGGUAGUGUGGCCAGAUUCUGAGCCACAGGACAAGUAGAGAUUAUUUUGAAAAAGUUCUAUAUUUAAAGAAAGAUGCCAGUAUCAUUCAUUUUAUUUUCACCUGAGGAAAAUGAGACCCAGAGAUACUAAGCAGAAUUUGAACCCAAGUCAUUUUUCUAAACCUAUACUCCUUGGAUGCUCUUUCUGCUAUAUCAUACUGCUAGAAUAUUUUAACAAAUCCAAGAAAGAGUGAGGGAUAACUUAAAAAGAAAUUAAAACAUGGGCCAGGGUUUUGCUCAGUGGUAGAGCGCUUGCCUAGCAUGAGUGAGGCACUGGGUUCAAUCCUUGGCACCACAUAAAAAUUAAAAUAAAAUAAAAUAAAAAAGGUAUAAUAAAUUGCUCUUGACAUUAAAAAAAAGAAAUUAAAACAUAGUUAAUAUGGAGAAAUAGAAACUGAUUGUUUUGUCACCCAGUAGCUACACGUAUAUCUAUUCCUAUUUCUAUAAUUUUCUUUGUAAAAAAGUCUGUACUGAAAAAUCCUAAUGUGUUUGUAGUUUUAAAAUCUUUCCAAAAAUAUGGAGGAUUGAAAAGUCCCUCUGCCAUCCACCCAUGAAACAGAAGGAGCAGUUUCAAAUCACAGGGCUGAAAAACUGACCAGAGCAGAAUGAAGGCUCCAGCCAGCAGCGUAGCAGGACACAAAGACUCAAAAACCAGGAGCAGCAGCUCAGAGGCUGGGAGGAUGUGUCCUGGCAGGCAGGUGCUCAGGAAAUGGGAGACUCUAAGUCAAGAGAGCUGCUGCAAGAGACAAGGGCUGUCCACUGACGCUUAAUGUCAGGUCUGUCUGGAGAGCAAGCUCCCAGCUGCCCAGUGCCCAGUGACCAGGAGAGUUAAGAGUUAAGAGAUACCUGGUCAAGGCUGCAAACGGAAGUAGGGGAGCAAAAUCUGACGUCAGAACAAAGGCCUGAUCAGCAAGCUGAGAUAUAUAUUUUUAAAUUUUAUUUUACUAUGAAUCAUAAUGUUGAUCUUACAGAAAACACAUAGAAGAAGAAAACCCAGAAAAGAGCAAGAAGAACAAGAUUCAUGGGUAGUGACGAUCAGAAGUUAACUGCAACACCAGGUUUUAGGUUGGGGCUGUCUGAUUCUUUUUUUUUUUAAAUUUAUUUUAAUUAGUUAUACCUGACAGUAGAAUGAAUUUAUGCACUUUGAUAUAUCAUACAUAGAUGGGGUAUAAUUUCUCAUUUUUCUGAGUGUACAUGUUGUAGAAUCAUAUUGGCCAUGAAAUCAAACCUAUACAUAAAGUAAUAAUGUCUGUUUCAUUCCACCAUCUUUCCUAUCCCCAUAUCCUCUCCCCUCUCAUCCGCUCCCUUCACUUCCCUCUACCUAAUCUAAGGGAACCCAAAUUCUUCUCUAGUGCCCCCUGCCUUAUUGUGAAUUACCAUCCACAUAUUAGAGAAAACACUCAGCCUUUGGUUUUUCGGGAUUGGCUUAUUUCACUUAGCAUGAUAUUCUCCAACUUCAUUCAUUUACUGGCAAAUGCCAUAGUUUCAUUCUUCUUUAAAGUUGAGUAAUAUUCCAUUGAAUAUAUAUACCACAUUUUCUUCAUCCAUCCAUCUAUUGAGGGACACCUAGGUUGGUUCCAUAGUUUAUCUAUUGUGAAUUGAGCUGCUAUAAACAUUGAUGUGGCUGCAUCACUGCAGUAUGCUGAUUUUAAGUCUUUUGGGUAUAAACCAAGGAGUGGGAUAGCUGGUUCAAAUGGUGGUUCCAUUCCAAGUUUUCUGAGGAAUAUCCAUACUGCUUUCCAUAGUGGUUGCACCAAUUUUCAUCCCACCAGCAAUGUAUGAGUGUAUCUUUUUCCCCACAUCCUCGCCAACAUUUAUUGUUGCUGUAUUCUUGAUGAUUGCUAUUCUGACAGGAGUGAGAUGAAAUCUUGGUGUAGUUUUGAUUUGCAUUUCUCUAAUUGCUAGAGAUGUUGAAUAUUUUUUCAUAUGUUUGUUGAUCCCAAAACUAAACAGAAGAUCUUAUACAAGGAUCAGAUUUUAUUUUCUGUAGUGGAACUUUGUCUCCCUCCAAUGACAGCUACUUUGUUCAUAGUUGGCACAUUUAUCCUUCCGUUCCAUUGAGCUGUACUGGGUUUCCUCUCCUUUAACAUUUUAUAUUUUAUUAAACAGAAGGAUAAAGAGAAUAGAAAAGUAACCAUGAUUAGAAACAGACAGCUGUCUACCACCUACUAGAAUUGAUUAAUCUUAACAUUUGUUCACAUGCACUUCCAUCUUUUAAAUAUUAUGAUAUUUUAGAUAAGAUGUAAAAUUCUACAUAUAUUUAAAAUGAUAAAGUUGAAGCCCCUUGGUCACCUACCCAGGGUCAUUCUCCCCUCUUCCUCCCCAGAGCUAACCUCUAUCAUGAAUUCAGUAGGUAUCCUUUACCAAGUUGUUAUACCUGUGUCAUAUAUUUAAACACCCAGAUAUGCCAUAGAAUAUUCUCUUGUUACUUUUUCAAUUGCUAAUUUUAUUUUGUUGUAGGUAUCAACUCAUCUUUAUAUAAUAUUGUAGGUGUGAAUCUACAAGUAGCUAUUUUUUCAGCCAUCUGUUUGGAGACCUUAGUCUCCAUGACCACUAAUUUCAAGAAGAGAGAGAGAGAGAGAGAGAUGAUUCUCAUAGGACAAAUAAUCCUAUUAGAUAAUCAGAGAUUAGGGAGGUGAAUAUUAUUCUGGAUAAAAGGAAGACAUUAAAAGGACUUAGAAUAUCAUAAGGAUCUUUGAUUUAUGAAAUUAAAAGGCAUAUUUUUAAAAAUCGCAGCGAGAACUAAUUAGCAAGGGUACUUUUGUUUUUGCUUCAUGGAGCUAUUUUAUUCAAAUGGCACACACAGUUUUUCCCUCACAGAAUUAAAUCAUUGUGUCCAUCAUCUCACAAAGUUUAUUCAUGUAUUUUUUAAAAAAAGUAAUUAGUUGUGCUUUUCCCCUUUCAUGGUGUUUCAGCUUACUUAUAUUGGGGCUUGCUUCAAUUCUCUGUCCUUAUUUCUUGUCAGUUUGCAGUUUCCCUGCACUGAGACAUUUGCUGUCCCCACUCCUUCGGUCGGGUAGAGAAGUGGUCUGGAGGGACGGCUCACUGACCUUAUUUUUCUUGUGGUUUCCUCUCAUUAUUUUAUUAUUUCAUUGCAAGGCAAUAUUUUCUAAAAGACCUCAUGCUGGCAAAUACAAGUUGACCUAAUGGGGCAUAACAACUUUUUUGGAGUCUCAAGGUCUGUGAUGUGAAUACCCCAGUUUGUUUUUAAAAGAUUUUCAUAAUCCACUGUGUAAAUAUACAUAUUUACAUAAUUUCCAAAACAUGUACUUUGAAGCCACGGUCCUCCCAAUUUCCUAUCUGUUAGUAACGAGUCACACACAAAUGUGGAUCUGCCGUCUUGAAUUCCAACAUGUCACUCUGUCACUUUCAAAUCUUGUAAGAGCUGGAACUCAGAACAUGGACUUGCCUGUGUUGCUUUAAAGAAAGCAGCCUAAGCAUGACCUCCACCUGGAGGGGAAGAAGACUCCUGGGUUUUGAUAAACUGACCUCUAUGGAGUUAGACCAGAGAGAAGAGGAAGUGCAAUGAAGGUUUUGGUGCACUGACUUUAAACUUGCCCUUCUAAGUAGCAUUUACAGCUCCUUCUAGGAUGCACUUUUGGUUUGGCCCCUUAACUUCCUGACCAAGACCCUGGGUAUUGAAGUGGAAGUCAACAAAGACAGCACAUAGGUGGUUGAAAAUUAGAGGAUUUUUAAUAUUUGAGCAGUUUCCAGUGGGCUCGAUCUACCCUUGCUUAGGACUAAGGAGCUUAGAGAGGGAAGGAAAGAGUUGCCAACCAAUUGGAUUUUGCUUAAUUUUGGCUGAAUUUUAAGGUAGGGUUGGAACAUCUAAAGGAAACCUAUCUGGGUAUCUCUAGAUGCCCAGCUGCAGCUGAAUCCAAAGAACAAGGACACUCGGAGACAUUUGAGCAAGCCCUCUGCUAGGCCCUUGGGGGGACACUUUAGGCUUCUCCCAAGAAGAAUCCUUUUUGGAUUUUUUGCUUCAGUAGCCUGGGUCAUUCGCUGGUGUCUUUUAGGUUUUCCAGUUCAAGAAGGAUUUUCUCUUGACCUUUGGUGGAAUUUUUAUUUUUAUUUUUUUUUACUAUAUUGCAAUUUCUUUUUGGAUGUUACUUUUUAUUAUCACUUCUCUUAUGCAAAUUGUUGCACUAAUAUUUUCCCUUCCUUUUCAUCUUUUAGAAAUUAAAUAGAGAAGAGUAAGAUCAAGGGGAGGAAUUUCAAACAAGGGCUGCCAGAUGCCAUUUGUCCCCUGGCGAGCUCUGCCUCCUUCAGUCCUGCCUUGCCUGUCAGUAAUCUCUCAUUUCGGUUCCAGAUGGUCUGUUUGACCUUAGAGAAAGCCCUCUGGGAGAAGUUUUUUUAGUCUCACACCUAAAAUCAUUAAUGUUGGCAGCUCAGUGGACAUACAGGCUAAAAUAUUCCCUCUUGGGAACUGUAACUCCAGCCCCAAAGAUGGCUUAGUGAGGCCAGUAAUGCGCUCUUAUCUCCAGAUGAGUAAGCUUACCAAUUAAAAUUCUUGGUUUCUCAUAUGCAUAACUUUCUCACACUGAGGUGAUGGAGAGGAGUGCUGGGCGGACUCCUUCCAGCCCUCUAAUCUGGUCUUUUAAAAAUUCCAUGUAAACAAAAGUACAUUCUUAAAUAGAUAAGGACUAGAAAAUCUGGUACCUCCUUCCCACCAUUGCCAUCAUCACAAUUCAUCAAGCACCUGAUCUUUGGGCGCCCAGAUUAUACGCAGAAGUAUAAGAUGCAAUCCCUCCCCCAAAGGCAUCUUGAAUGGCAUGUGACCACAGAACAUGCAUAUAUUUGCAUAAAAUGGAAACAUAAAUAGCUUUCAGGGGAAUGACAUGAGCAAUAAAUACUGCAGGAGCCCAGAAACAGGGGGCAGAGAUGAUUGCAAUCCGGGUGAGACAAAAUGACCUCAUUAAAGAGGUGGCACUUGGAGAAGGGCCCAACUAAGAUUAAGAGAGGGAAGAGCGGUCAUUCUUCCAAGAAAUACUGUGUGAACGAGGACAAAAGGGCAGAUGCUGAAGAUGAGUUUUACCUGCAGGGUGAAGACUACCUCUUCUCUGUAGGCGUAAGGUGUUUGCAUGAGUUCAGAAGUGAAGCCAUCUCCAGACCAUGUGUAUGACCCCAGAAGCUGAUCUUCAGAAGAGAUGUAGAAAGAGUCGGGAGGCAGAAAGACGGAGGACCACCUACUUGCUAGGACCAAAUACUGCUCUGAAAUUUUUUCCUCAUUUUUCUUACCAUUAAUGCAAAGUAGGAUCUAUAUUCAGUGACUCCUUACCGAAAGUCUACUCCCUUUCUAGCACUGUGCAAGAGGCAGUGAUAGACACCCAAGAUUAGGAGAUGGCACCUUUCCUUCUGGAGUGAAAGGAGGAAGGAUUAGAUAAUCAUCCUCAAAGCAUCCGACUGUUAACUGACAAUUUACCAAGGCUGGAUUAUCAGCCAACCCCUUGCAGGAUCAUGUGUUUCCAGCUGACAAGUGCACUUAGUAGGCCCUGAGUAAAUAUUUUGUUGAUGAACCUACAGAAUAUAAACAGUGCUUCUCAGACUCUCUGUGAUGAAGGACCUUUUUCAAAACCCCUAAUCCACUGGAGACUAACUCCCCAGUAAAACACAAUAGAAAUGUUCUUGGAUGUCACAAGAAUGCCAAAUUGUUACGCAAGUUUUUACAUGCUUUCUCUCAAUUUCUGUGGUUUUGUCAUUGUUGACUAAUAAUAAAAUACCCCACAGGCAGGUCACAGACCACACUUGGGCAAUGAGGAGGAAGAGGGCACUGUGUGCCUCAAGUGAUCAAGGAUGUGUAAACCCACAGUUCACCCAGUCCACCCACUAAGCCUCGGGGUGGAUGCAAUUUAGAAACCAAAACAAUCUGACUCCCUGUCCUCAAACCCCAACCAGAUGUGACUCUGCCUCCCCAGUCUUCUUCCUCCCAAGCUUGGUUUCUAUUCAGCCCUUGGGGUGAGGGCGGGGCAUGGAGGCGUGGGUGGCAGUAAAGGAGGAAAGCAGAAAGAAAAGAGGCAGGUGAGGAAGGGGGGUGGCCAAGAUCCACUGAACUGACAAAGGCCCCGCCUCCCCACCCCCUCUCCCCUUGGUUCAGGCCACCUUGCUCUGCUCACACCUCCGUGAGCUGAGAUGUUUAGGCCUCAGGUUCUCACGCCUCCCUUGUUAGUCACUGGGUGGUACCUGUCAUAUAGCAUCACAGUCAGGCCAUUCAGGAGAGAUUCCAGUGACCUCCAGCCUAAUGGUUCUCUAAUUAGUGUUUCUAGCUCACUGAAGCAUUCGGUUUCUGGUGAUCAAAGGCUCCUCCCCUCCCCUCCCUCUUGGCCUUGGCUCCUAGCAGCCCCAUAAGGUAGCCAGAUGUGAUGUUCUUUCUCUUGCUCUGUUUGUAGCCAACUGCAAACCAAUGACCUAGAGAGCACUCACCACCACACCCUGGGCAUGAAGCUCUCUGUGGAAAGCAUUUUAUUUUAAGAAACAGCAAACUGCCCUGGUAAGAACUCAUCUAAGACAGAGUUUGAAACUUUAUCACAGGACAGAGUGCCCGCUGAAAGAAAACAGGAGAAAGGGGUCAGUAUUCUCAUCUUUACGGCCCGCCUGACUUGCUGAGAAAAUAAAAAAUGACAUGUGGAAGUUCCUCUGCAGAUCUCAACAUUUUCCCAGGUUGGAGAACCCUGUACCAUCAAUGGAGGACAGGUGUGACAGCUGCCCUCUGUUCAGUUUUUCCGGAAUGAGGCUUAUUUCCUUGUGUUCUUGGGACAAAGUGCAUUUACUUUCUGUAAAGAGAUUCACUCCCCAACUCUGUUGGGUUAGAAGUCAGGGCCUCCACAGAGAGCAAGGUGACGGGGAGUUGGAGGAAGAAAAAAGAAGAAGGCAGCAAGCACACUUUGCCGAUGCAACUGUCCCCCUGACUCUGUCUGGUACAGCUGUCCACCUCGAGUGCUGAAGCUAGAAAUAAUUGCUCCCCACAGAUGCCAGAGUGCUGGCUCUUUGCCCUCCCUUACCUGCCCCUCUCCACUCUGCAUGCACUCACCUGUCUAGCUCUGAUCCUGUAAUUUUGCGGAUGUUGGUAAGGGUCUAUGGUCUGGAUAUAGUUUGAGUGUCUCCCCCAAAGGUUCAUGAGUGGAGCUUGGCCUCCAAGGUGGUGAUGUUGGAAAUGGUAGCACUUUAAGAGGCGGAGCCUAGUGGAAGGUAAUUAGGUCACUGGGGUGCUGCCCUCAGACAAGAUUAGUGUAGUUCUCUUGAGACUUCAGUGCAACAAGACCAAGUUGUUAUAAAAGAGUAAGCCUGACCUCCGAGAAUGCCUCUAGCUUCAUGUCCCACUGUGUAAUCUCCCCUUCCUACGUGCACUCCCACCAUGAUGCCAUUUGCCAUGUUGUGAUACAGCUAGAAAGCCCUCACCAGAGCCAAGCAGAUACUGGUGCAUCCUCUUGAACCUGCAGAACUGUGAACUAAUUAAACCUCUUCUAUUUAUAUAUUAUCCAGCAUCAGCUAUUAUAUUAUAGCAACAGAAAACAAACUAAGAUAGGACUUAAGUCACUUCAAUUUUUUUUUUAAGAUAAGGGAUUCCUUUAUGUGUGUGUCUAAUAACUGUAUUUACCAGAAUUCCUCUCAGGGAAUGCAAGAUAUUUGGAAGAGAUCAUUUUAACAAGGUACUUGGUAGAGUGGAUCAACCUUCAAAGCCAUAUCUGAUGACUAAGGGUGACUGCUUAACUUUAGGCCAAGACACAGGAAGAGGAGCUUGCUUUAAUCCUGAGAGGUAAAAGAGCAAGACCGAGAGAGAAAAAGCAGAAAGAAAAGUCAUUGAGAUGGCAGAAAGCCAUGCACUACACCGUGUGGCCAGCUGCUUGUGACCUUCAUGUCUUCAGCUUCUCAGUGUCAAUUCUAUUGACAUUGAGGUUGGAUAAUUCUUAGGCGGGGGGGUGGGGGGGAGGUUUCCCUCUGUACUAUAGCAUCCCUCCUCUCUCCACCCACCUGAUGCAAUAGCAUUCCUGCUCUAGUUCUGACAGCUAAAAACAUCUCCAGAUAUUGCCAAAUGUCCUCCAGAGGGGUAAAAUUACCACAGUGGAGAACCAUCAAGUUAAGACAACUAAACCCAUCAAGAGCCCGGGAUGAACGAAUUCUUUGUGAAAAGCGUUGAAGGGUUUGCAUUUCUGGCCAGGCUGAUGUGGGGCCAAGCAGAGGCAGCCUGAGGGACAAAGAGGCUGGAGUCAGAAGGGAUCGUGAGAAUAUAAACCCCGGGAAUUUGCAGAAAUGGUGAGCAGGGCUUUGAAGUCUCUCAGGCUGAGAUCCCUCAGGGCAGGGAGUUUGCCUGAGGUCUACAUCACAGAGCCAGACCUGGAUCAGCCCAUCCUUUCCUUUAAUCUGGCCAGGUCUGUGCUAUGCAAAAUAGGAAUUCCUCUGUGCUCCUGGCACUUGGCUGUCUGUCUUCCCUCGUGUCCGGCUCUAAGUCAGACUGUUCCUAUUUUUUUAAGUGGGAAUCUGGGAGGGAGCUCUAGCUCCCCACUCAGGAGGCUCCAUGAACCAAUGUCUCCACACCACCUUGGAGUGUCCUCCUGGAGGCAGGGACACAGCAGCCAUUGAUGUUGGCACAUGAUGAGCAUCUCAGGCAGGGAGGCAGGUGCAGAGUACGACCUCAGGACAUUUCAUUCCAGGUUCAGGAAGCCUAAGAGUUUUGGUGGCUUCUGUCAAGAGAGAUGUAUCCUGAAAACGUCUGGGGCCAGCUUCUGGAUUUGCUUCUGUCUGUGUUUUGGCUGAGGACGGUCAAUGCUGAACUCUUAGGCAUCCAAGGAUCCAAGUUUGUGUCCCACUCGCCUCUGCUCCCUUCUCCCACUUGAAUACGAAGCGUAGUUCAGUCCACAUAGUACCCACUUUUUCUUCAGCAAGCACAGAGAUCUUAGAAUGUUCCAAAAUCACAGCCUUGUUCUCUUCUGCUGGAGUCCUAUUCUCUACCAGACUCCUAAACUCAUCAUGGUUUAAAGAGAUGAGAAUCAAAUCAGCAGCUCCAUGUUGAGAGGCAAGAAUAGAACGAUGAGGAGAGGAAGAUCAUGAUUCCGCCAUUCACUGAGCAACUAUUGCCUACCUUCCAUACCUUAAGGAAUCAAUCUAACAUAAUCCCAUUUUUGAAGACUAAGAAACUGAGGUUUAGAGAAGUAACUUGCCAAUUGUCCCAGUGUUAGUGGCUCAAUGAUCUGACCACAAAACCUUUUUCUCUUCUCAAUACUACAAAAUAACAUAAAAGGGGAAGUAUCUGCUACAAUUUUUGUAGUUUCUGGUCACUGUUAGCACACAUUUAUGGAAGAAGUGUGCUUUUAUAAAUGACCCUCAUUUUCUAAAAUUUAGCCUUCAGAGAGAAUUCUAAAGGUGAUAUUUGAAACCAAAGGUGAUGAACUUUUUGCAGGGCUUAUGAUACAUUUUGCCAAAGUUCCUGCUUUUAAGACCUUUGCCACUCCUACGGGUAGAAAUAUGGCAUCUUAAUGUCCCAUUGUGCAUUCUUUAUCUCUAAACAGAACAUUCUUUCAAGCUUGUUGGAUGUCUGCAUUUCUGUUCACGACCCUUUUCUAUUUUUGUGUUGCCCUUUUUCUUAAUAUUUUGUAGGAUUUUCUGAUAAAAUAAGGAUAAUGAUGCUUUGUCAUAGUGUUGAAAUGUUUCUGCCAGCUCACCAUUUGCAUUUUUAUCAUUUAGUGUUUUUUUAGAUACACAAAUCUUGUUCUUUCUCAUAAUAACUUAUGCAAUUGAUGUGGUACUUAGAAAGUGUUUAAUUUUGAGAUUUUCCUCUGCUUUUCAAAAGCUAUGUGCUUUACAUUUAUGCUAAUCCAUCUGUGAUAUAUUUUAAUUUUUCAGAUGUAGCUGUAAUUUCUAUCUUUUACAAAUACCCAAUUUUGUUCCAUAGCUUUUUGAAUUAUUCAAAUCUUCCUCCAUUGGUUCCAUUAUGAUCUAUUAAGUACUUAAACGUUCUUGGGUGUCUUCUAGGUUAACUAUUCUACUUAUCCAUUUAUCAAUGCUUAUGCCCAUGGCAUGAUAUUUUCAGUAGCUUUCCAAUCUCCUUGGAUAUUUAGAGUCCCUCCUCCCCCCAUUACCCUUUUCUGAACCUUCCUUAGCUCUGCUGUCCUGUUCAAUGUUCCAAAUGAAAUUUAAAAUUGUGCCAUGGCUUUUAAGAGAAGAAAAAUCCCAUUGAUGGAGGGUGGUUGCGUUGCAGUUCCACAAGCCUUCCAGGGGCUCUUGAGUGUCCUCCCUCCCCUACCUUGUCACCUGAGUAACUCCAACGUCUGGCUUUGUUUGUAGUGCUGGGGGUAGAACCCAGGACCUCAGACAUCCUAGGCAAGAUCUCUACCACCGAGCCACUUCCCUGGCCCUUUUUAUUUGUAUUUUGAGGUAGAGGUGUCUCUAAGUUGCUGAGGCUGGCUUUGAACUUGCAAUCUUCCUGCCCCAAUCUCCCAAGUCACAUUACAGGUGAAUGCCACCAGGCCCAGCCCCAGUCACAGUUAUAAUUGCCUAGUUGUUCACUGUCUAUUCCACGUCACCCUCCCCGUGACUUUACUCCCUCUAAGCCAUGGGCCUCUCAGGAGCACAGGCAGCAUUUCCUCAUCCUCUGCCAAGCAGCCUGACAUACACCAAAGGUGCUGAAGAAGAGGAAAGAUGGUAGAGGGGCCCGGUGGGGGCAGGUGUGCCAGGCCAACCGCAGCCUCCACCUUCAGGCAGCCUUGGCCUCAGGGAGCUUAGUUUGGCUGGACCUCCAGAACUCAGAGCUCCCCAAGGCCCUGUCCGAAUCUCCAGUCCCUCAAAAAGGCUUCCGCCCAAUCUGCCUCCCCCAACCUUCUGCAGAACCAUUGUAACCCAACUCACGCUAAGGGGACAUUAUGAGCUGACUUCUGUCAAGGACCCAAGUUGAAGAUUUGCAGAACUGAAUUCUAAUUUUGACAGCAGAGUGUGAAUAAACAUUACCAUGCUUUAUUGCUCUAAAUCUGUUGCUAAAUUCAUUGCUUCUCCAUGAGUCAGAAGCCCAAUAAACAACUAUAAUGUUCCAAUAA